rnacentral:SRP_RNA from 1 species
CUGGGGUAAGUCUCAUACGACCAGCUCCCUCUGAAACUCCCUAGGGUCGGAAGACAGCAAGGAUAGGAGGUUGUAGCGGUGCGAUGUGAGGAGCUUGCCCC